CCUACGGGAGGCAGCAGUGAGGGAUAUUGGUCAAUGGGGGAAACCCUGAACCAGCAACGCCGCGUGAGGGAAGACGGUUUUCGGAUUGUAAACCUCUGUCCUCUGUGAAGAUGAUGACGGUAGCAGAGGAGGAAGCUCCGGCUAACUACGUGCCAGCAGCCGCGGUAAUACGUAGGGAGCAAGCGUUGUCCGGAUUUACUGGGUGUAAAGGGUGCGUAGGCGGCUUUGCAAGUCAGAAGUGAAAUCCAUGGGCUUAACCCAUGAACUGCUUUUGAAACUGUGGGUCUUGAGUGAUGGAGAGGCAG
rnacentral:rRNA from 1 species